rnacentral:rRNA from 1 species
AUACGUAGGGGGCGAGCGUUGUCCGGAAUGAUUGGGCGUAAAGGGCGCGUAGGCGGCCCGGUAAGUCUGGAGUGAAAGUCCUGUUUUUAAGAUGGGAAUUGCUUUGGAUACUGUCGGGCUUGAGUGCAGGAGAGGUAAGUGGAAUUCCCAGUGUAGCGGUGAAAUGCGUAGAGAUUGGGAGGAACACCAGUGGCGAAGGCGACUUACUGGACUGUAACUGACGCUGAGGCGCGAAAGUGUGGGGAGCAAACAGGAUUAGAUACCCUGGUAGCCCACACUGUAAACGAUGAAUGCUAGGUGUAGGGGGUAUCGACCCCUUCUGUGCCGCAGUCAACACAAUAAGCAUUCCGCCUGGGGAGUACGGCCGCAAGGUUGAAACUCAAAGGAAUUGGCGGGG